UCUGCCAUGAGAGGAUGCUGCCACAAGAGGGUGCCAUCGGUGGAGAAAGCCCUCACCCAACACCAAACCUGGCGGCACCUUGAACCUGGACUUCCAGCCUCCAGAACUACUCUAAGAAACCUCAUUGGUAGGUGCGGGGAAGAUCACCAUCCCCAAUCCUUUAAUCCUUGCCUGUGAGAGAAUGAUACGGCCACACCCUCUGCCAUGUGACUGCAGUGCUGCCUGAUAGAGCUGCACAGUUCCCGUCCCAUUUCACCGCUGCCUCCAAAUUCCCACCCCAGCUGCGCCCCAUCUCUCAAGCAGAGCUGGCGGUCUGAGAGCAGUGACUGGGGACGAGCGUCCACGCGGGGCUGACGAACUGUCAAAGCCGCCACCAUCUGUCAAGACCUAUGAGGACGCACACAGCACGGGCAGGCGGGCAAGAGAAGUGGCGGACGCAGUCGGUCACCCAGCAUCAGCUCCGGAGGCGCGCUGCUUCACCUGGUGACCUGUCCCCGGCCUACGGGUCUCUAGGAAGCACUCCAGUCCCUGCCAGAUGCUAGCGGGAAGGCGGGAGGGGGCGCCCUGCAAAGGUGGCUGAGACGCCGUCCCAGCGCCCAAGAAGCUGCCAAUCUGCCUGCGGGGCUGAGACCGAUCUAAGAAAGGAUCUGCGACCAAACCAGCAAAAGCAAGUAUGUCUCAUGAAAAACUUCUGCUUGUUACCAAGCUUCCUGGAAAAUUGCAUUUGGAGAGCUAUGAAGGCUUGGCCGGAUUUCUGAAAUCCUAGGACGCUAGAGCUCACCUUUCAGAUCUCAGACCUCAGAUGCCACAUCCUCAAGGAAGCUCUCCUGGACUGCCCACCUCCACAUUCUUGGG